rnacentral:rRNA from 1 species
CAGCAGUCGCCGCGGUAAUAGAGGGUGCGAGCGUUAAUCGGAUUUACUGGGCGUAAAGCGUGCGUAGGCGGCUUCUUAAGUCGGAUGUGAAAUCCCUGAGCUUAACUUAGGAAUUGCAUUCGAUACUGGGAAGCUAGAGUAUGGGAGAGGAUGGUAGAAUUCCAGGUGUAGCGGUGAAAUGCGUAGAGAUCUGGAGGAAUACUGAUGGCGAAGGCAGCCAUCUGGCCUAAUACUGACGCUGAGGUACGAAAGCAUGGGGAGCAAACAGGAUUAGAUACCCCUGUAGUCCCUGUCUCUUAUACAC